GACGAACGCUGGCGGCGUGCUUAACACAUGCAAGUCGAACGGAAAGGCCCCGCUUGUGUGGUGCGCUCGAGUGGCGAACGGGUGAGUAACACGUGAGUAACCUGCCCUUGACUUUGGUAUAACCUCAGGAAACUGGGGCUUAUACCGGAUAGGAGCCCCUUCUGCAUGGUGGGGGUGGGAAAGUUGGGGCGGUUGGGGAUGGCCGCGGGGCUUAUCCGUUUGUGGGGGGGGGAGUGGCUUACCAAGGCUUUGACGGGUAGCCGGCGUGAGAGGGUGACCGGCCACAUUGGGACGGGAAUACGGCCAGACCUCCUACGGAGGGCAGAAGUGGGGAAUAUUCAACAAUGGGCGGAAGCCUGAUGCAGCAACGCCGCGGGCGGGAUGACGGCCUUCGGGUUGUAACCCGCUUUCGCCUGUGACGAGGCGUGAGUGACGGUAAUGGGUAAAGAAGCACCGGCUAACUACGUG
rnacentral:rRNA from 1 species